rnacentral:lncRNA from 1 species
AACCUUUAGCAUGGUACCCAAAUUUCUUGCCCUUCGUAAUCCUUAUGAAAAUGCAUAACCCUUUACUGUGGAUCCUUCUAUUGCAGCAAUCUGGUGGAGAGCUAUUCACCUGAAAUGGACAGUCUGUAAGAUUAUUUAGCCUGUUGCAUCAGUACAUUAAAAAAACUUCAUACCAGUGACCUAUCUAAACUCUAGACAUAAUAACAUGUUCUAGUUCCUUUGCCUUCUAUGCAGAAAUAGUGUUCAGCCAUGCUUAAAGAGGAAUUUCCCAUGUGUUGCUUCGAAUGGACAAUGUAAGUUGAUUCUCAGUGUUGCUUCACAGUUAGUCUAAAGCACUGGUAUAACACAUUCAUGUACAGAAAGAAAAAAAAUGUUUUUUUACAUGCAUUUCAGAUGGAUGCUGAUAAUUACGACAGACAAUGGUAGCGUUGAUGAUGAUUAAUUAACUUUGGAUAAGUUACAAAUUGCAUGCUAUUGCUUGUAUAGGAUUAUCAAAAUGGUAAACUCGAAAUAAGCACACCCAUUAAAAUCACUAACUGAGUAACUAGUAUAAUCUGGGACUACUUCCCACAGAGUACACUGGUUUUAAAGUACAUAAAGCUCAGGCUGUAGCUAGUUUUCUUCUUGUUUUAGAACUGAAGCUGCAUGGAACCUUUACCUACACAUUCUCACAGAUCAAUAUUCACUGCAUAUCAAUUGUGGUGAUAAAGAAGCAAUUAUUAACGGAACCAAAUACGAAGCGGACACAACACCAAAAGGUGCUUCAUUGCUGUAUGUAAGCCCAGGGUCAAACUGGGCAUUUAGCAGCACUGGGAACUUUAUGGAUGACAACAUCACUGACGACAACUUCAUUGCAACAAGCAUAUCAAAAUUGGUCAUGCCCAAUUCAGAGUUGUACACCAAAGCCCGUCUUUCUCCUCUUUCGCUCACAUAUUAUGGGCUUUGCAUGUUCAGCGGGAGCUACACGGUUAAUCUCCACUUUGCUGAAAUUGUUUUCACAAAUGACAGCACAUAUUGUAGCCUUGGCAAAAGAAGAUUCAACGUGUUCAUACAGGUAAACUAGAUUUUAGCUGUUUCCUUUUCAUUAUAACAUUUUCCUUUGUUAGCGGUGAUACUACAAUAGGCUUUGAACCUCAGGGAAGAAUGGUGCUCGAGAAUUUCAAUAUUGAACAGCCCUCUGGUGCGGAUGGAAAGCCAGUUAUCAAGACUUUCCAAACAUACGUCACAAAUCAUACUCUAGAGAUUCAGUUCUAUUGGGCAGGAAGGGGGACAACAGGCAUUCCAUAUAGAGGUUCUUACGGUCCACUGAUAUCUGCAAUAACAGUAACUCCAAGUGUGUUCUUUGGACUCCUGGUUUGUCAAUUUUGAAUAUUCUGUUCCACUAAUUACUAUGGGCAAGGACACACUAUUGAAUAUCAUGUGUGGUGUUAUUAGUUGUGCGGAUUAUAGUUAUAAAAGAAAGCUGUUAUUAGUUUAUGUUCAUGUUCAGAUUUCCAGAUUCCGUUGGCUGUUGAACCUCCCAAAACUCGAGAUAGCAAAAGGAGUUCAAGGGUAUCCAUUGCUUUAGUGAUUGGAAUCCCUGUUAUAGCAAUAUUCACUGCUCUGAUUGUUGGCAUUUAUUGUAUUAAGAAGCGAAGAAAGAGUUUGAUGCAUAAAGGUACAAUAGCUAGUUUCUCAUUCAACUCAUUUCAAAUUUUAUGUUCAUUAAAAAACUGGUAAUAACUAUCUUUCACUUUUUUGGUAAACUCCUCAUGCUAGAGCACACCUACCGCUAAGCUGCACUAGGAAUUCCAAGAUAAUACCGUUGAUCCAAAAUAAAUAGAAAUCUCAUAGUAUACAAUUUCCCUUGACAACAAAACAAUUAAGUCAGGAUACUAAAGCUUUGCAUAUUACUGUUGUUGGAAACAAUCCUGUGUGUGUCCAGGUUCACCUAGUGUCUAGGUUCAUUGCUAUUAGUGCUAGCUAAUUUCAGCUUCUAGUUAAAAGAGAAUAAUAUGCAGAUCAUGUGGGCAUUGACUGCAUUAAUUAGGAGGAUAUCAUGGGCAGGUUGCAGCCCUGUACCAGCUAUAUAUGUGUGAGAAAACGAUGAAGGCAGUGUGGCCAGCAUCACCGAAAACUACUUGUGCUUGUGUGAGUCCACCUGAGGAAAACUAGGGUGUGUCUGUGAUAGACACCUAGAAAAUGAGGGAGUGAUUCCCAACAACUGUGGAAACAAUAAAACAUCCAUAUCUAUGUUAGUAUAUAUGUUAAUGACCUCAUAUAAACCCUUUCUAUAGAACUCAGAGCUCUUGACCUGCAAAUUGGCUCCUUCACUUUGCGUCAAAUCAAAGCGGCAACUAGGAACUUCGAUGCAGCUAACAAGAUUGGUGAAGGUGGUUUUGGUUCAGUUUACAAGGUCAGUCAGCAUUUCUUCCCACACAUAAAUUAUGCAGACGUUAGAACUGCUAAAAUACAACUUACACUGGAACAUUGCCUUCACUGACUCAACAGGGUUUAUUAUCUGAUGGCACCAUCAUUGCUGUCAAGCAGUUAUCAUCAAGGUCUAAACAAGGGAAUCGGGAAUUCGUGAAUGAGAUAGGCAUGAUAUCUGCACUCCAGCAUCCUAACCUUGUCAAACUUUACGGUUGCUGUACAGAAGGAAACCAGCUCUCACUAGUUUACGAGUAUAUGGAAAACAAUUGCCUUGCACGAGCUCUUUUCGGUAACAAUACUCUCCAUGUUUCUUCAUUUACCCCGUUUAAACUUAUGCUCCAUGUUAGAACUCAGACUAUUCCUAUGUGGUCCAGUUGAACAAUACAGACUGAGACUGGAUUGGCCAACAAGACACAAGAUUUGCCUUGGGAUAGCAAGAGGUCUAGCAUAUCUGCAUGAGGAGUCCGCAAUAAGGAUUGUGCACCGAGAUAUCAAGGCCAGCAACAUACUGCUUGACAAAGAUUUGAAUGCUAAGAUCUCAGAUUUUGGGCUAGCAAAACUUAAUGAAGAUGAUCACACCCACAUAAGCACAAAAGUAGCUGGAACAAUGUAAGUGUUUUUCUUCUAUGCCCUUGUUUCUCUUGAAGCAUGAAUCAGAUCCACGCAUCCAAUUGACCUAUAAUGCUACAGAUUAGAAGCUCUAGAAGGGAAGGCAAUUAGAAGCAAUGGUAAUGAUGAGCAUUGCAACAUUUUAUCUAACGAAGAAUACUGAAAACCUUUUAAACACUGAAAACAUUUAACCUAACCAAAACACUGGAAAAACACAGAGAAAUAUAAAGUCAUCAGCUAAGAGUAAGAAAACUACAUGUAUAUGAGGGGUAUCUUUGCUGCAUAUAAACAUAAAUAAAUAAAAGAUGCAACUAACAGCAUAUUGACAGUUUCCUUGAAUUAAGGUACUUAUUAAUGAUACUAAUCAGUUCUUAUUUGAACAUCAAUUUUCUGUGCACUUGUAAAUCUAUUGGACUGCACCACUUACAGUUACAGCUGACUUGAUCAUUCUGUAUUCAUGCAGCGGAUACAUGGCUCCUGAGUAUGCUAUGCGUGGUUAUUUAACAGAUAAAGCUGAUGUAUACAGUUUUGGUGUUGUUGCCUUGGAAGUUGUCAGUGGAAAAAGUAACACAAACUACAGGCCAAAGGAAGACUUUGUUUAUCUUCUAGAUUGGGUAACUCCUGAAUCUUCAUUCAUAAAGAGCCAUUUGGACCAUGCAAAGCAAUUAUGGGCCUCAGACAAUCAUUUGCACUACAAACAUCAAUUGCCCAUAGUGUUGGGACAUAUCAGUUUUCAUUUAACACAAGGAUAUUUAAUAUGGGGGCACAUUUAAAUAUCAUCUCAAUCCUGAUUCCUGCAUCCUAUCCUUUUUAUCUUACUAAUCAAACUUCUCCUGGCCAACCCCAUUAAAAUUCUGUUUGAUCCUAAAUAAAAGGAUAUUCUUACCAUCCCACACAACUUUCGAUGUUACAAUUUUAACCCUGGAGUGACAAAAUGAGGAAACAGUACCUUGUUUUCUGCAAAACCAAUGGAAAUUGGAUUAUAUCAGCAUGCCAAACCCUACCAUUUUUCAUUUUAUUCAGAUGUACAUACCUUGAGCUGUAUGCUAAUCGCAUCUCUUAAAUGUGUUUCAGGCUUGUGUUCUACAUGAGAGAGGAGCUCUUCUAGAAUUGGUAGAUUCAGAUCUAGGAUCCAAUUACUCAACAGAAGAGGCACUCCUGAUGUUGAAUGUUGCCCUG